rnacentral:tRNA from 1 species
GGGGAUUUAGCUCAGUGGUAGAGCACUUGCCUAGCAAGCACAAGGUCCUGGGUUCGGUCCCCAGCUCCA